rnacentral:rRNA from 1 species
UACGUAGGGUGCAAGCGUUGUCCGGAAUUAUUGGGCGUAAAGAGCUCGUAGGCGGUUUGUCGCGUCUGCUGUGAAAUCCCGAGGCUCAACCUCGGGCCUGCAGUGGGUACGGGCAGACUGGAGUGCGGUAGGGGGAGAAUGGAAUUCCUGGUGUAGCGGUGGAAUGCGCAGAUAUCGAGAGGAACACCUGCGGCGAAGGCGGGUUGCUGGGCCGACACUGACGCUGAGGCGCGAAAGCUAGGGGAGCGAACGGG